GGAGACGUAUCGAAGUGGUCAUAACGAGCUCGACUCGAAAUCGAGUUGUCCGCAAGGGCACGUGGGUUCGAAUCCCACCGUCUCCGCCA
rnacentral:tRNA from 1 species